UUUGAAUGAUGAACAAAACUUUUCACCAUCUUUCGACUGAAUAUCAACGUUGAUGUCAAAUAAGUUUUUUUUUACUGAUUUAAU